CGGAGGAGGGGGGGCGGCGGCGAGGGGGAGAGGGAGGGCAGCUGCAGGGCCCAGGAGAGCCGUCGGAGGAACCCAGGAGCUGGAGCGUCUCAAAACUAAGCUCUCGCAUCAGGACGCCACCAUCUCUGCGCUUAGACGCGAGAUCAGCGUCCUGCGCAGCAAGACGGGCUCCGUGGUGCUCCCCGGCCUCCCCGCACCCGAUGCCCCGAAGGCGCCACGCCCCCCGAGUGCCCAGCUGCCUCUCUUGUCCGCCAGGAGCACCGAGCAGUACGCCGAAGGAGAGCUGGCCCACUUGGUCGGCCAAGAGGGGCUCCUACCCCCCAUCCCUCGCGAGGACUCCCCUGACGAAGGAGCUCGCGCCUCGGGCGAGGGGCCGGGGGAGGGGGCCGCCAGCGGGGGGAACACCGUGCGCUUCGGUAGCGACGGCGACGGAGACGACGAGGACGAGAGUGAGGCUGCCUCCUCUGACGGCUCGGUCUAAGGAUGUCUUGUCUGUCCUUGGCUGCGUUUUGUGCGGGAGAAGGUUCCCUUUCUUUCCUAUUAAUUGCUUAUCAGUUCAUUGAGCGGCAAUUUUUUUUUAUCUUCCUUGUGUGCGACUAUUGUGAUGUGAUGGGAUGUUACAAAUAGAACCCUGGGAUCCUCUUUGCUAUAAUUUUUUAAUGGUGUACCGUAUGUGCUUGGUAAGUAUUUAUUUUCUUUUUAUUAUACAGUAUAUACAGGAUAUGGUUUAUUGCUAUAACUUUACUGGCAAUUUUUUUCAUGGUAAUCUAAAAUUACAAGCACACAUUUCCAGGAUGUACUGGUAACUUCUAUCUCAAAUGAUUACCAUAACAUGAUCAUUCUGAGCCUUAAUUUUGGGGGAAUAUUUGUUCUCUCUCCUUUUUUUUGGCUUCAUCUUCAUCCGUUAUUUCUAGGAAAAUUAUCUCAAAACCAUGAAAAAAUCUCCUUAACACAAUAUAAGGUCUAUGAAAUAAAAAGAACUGUUUAUAAUGUAACUAUAUUUAUUUCCUAUAAUAAAUUAAAAAAUAAAUAAUGGCGACUGGUUCUGGCUGACAAGAUAACAGGUGGGCGACUGGAGUGAAUAAAAAAUAAAUAAAUAAGAAUUCCACCAAAAUACUUUCCUCUAAUUUUCCCUUCCUUCCUUUCUCUGGUGCUGGACAUGUGCAAAUGUAGAAUUUUGCUUAAACAUUCGGUCCCAUCACAAAAUACAAGAAUAUACGGGGUAAGUGUCUAUAUCACAAAAACCCUUAUAUUCUUACAUGAUUCCACAAUAUAAUUGACACAUCUUACAUCCUUUAAAUAUAAAAUGUGGUUUUCCUUACAGCAAUGUAACAAAUAUAGAAAAUAUGGGGCCUCAAACCCCCUUUUUUUUCUUCUUUUUUACUUUUCAUAUUCCAAAGUCAUUGAUCUUUUAAUAUCACAUAGAUAUAUGUAAGAUUUGGUAAAUGUCGGGAUAUUUCAUUUUAUCAACCAUAUAUUGAGGUAAAAGACUUGUACAUCAAGUUCAGAUACCCAAAAUAACAUUGAUAAUAAAAAAAAUACCCCUGCUCCAUAUAAAAAUAAGAAUAAGAGCAAAAAUCUGAGAUGUCAUACAAUAUAUAUUGGAACAUAGAAAAUUUCAGAAAGAAAAAUUUACACAGUAGAUAACAGAUCACUUUUCUCUCUUUGCUUUCAUAGCUGCCAGCCAAAACAACACUAUUGUAACCCAACACCAAGAAAUUUUUCUUAGCAGCCCUCCAAAAUACCUGGGACCUUCAUAAACUUUUCUGCCAAUCGCCCACCCUAAAAAACAACCUUUAACCCAUAGAAGGCAUUGUGUUACUUCACCAUUAAAUACGGGUUUGGCGAUUGAAAAAGAAAGAAAAAAAAUUGCUGUUCAUUACUGCUCAUUCACAUGACACCAUCAUGUCUGCAGCUCUAAAAAUACAACAAUUUUCAUAUUUUUUAAGUUAUUUUCUUCUUUCUCUUAAGUUUUGGGUCUGGUAUCCUUAUUUCAUACAUCAUUCUAGCAGAUGGGAUUGUAAAUUGGCAGCAAAUGGAGUGAAAAUGAACACAUGUCAUUUCUUUAAUUUCAUUAAUCUGAUAUUUUUUUAUAUUCAAUUCUGCAGCAUGCAGAUGAAAAUCCUAUAUUCCCCUAAAAAGGAAUCAUAAUACAUAUAUAUAAUACAUACCUUUUCUAGGUUUGUUUAGGAAAUGAAUGAAGUCUUUAAAAAUUAAAAUAUAUAAUAUAUAUCCAUUUCCAAACAUUUUGCUGCCACAGAUAAUCCAGACCAAUUAUUUUUUAUUUACACGGACAUCAGAGGCGAUCCACAAACUUUAAAAAAAAAAAAAAAAAAAAAAAAAAAAAAAAAAAAAAA
rnacentral:lncRNA from 1 species